rnacentral:tRNA from 2 species
GCGCCUGUAGCUCAGGUGGAUAGAGCAGCUGCCUUCUAAGCAGCGGGCCGGGGGUUCGAGUCCCUCCAGGCGUGCCA